rnacentral:rRNA from 1 species
UACGUAGGCAGCAAGCGUUGUUCGGAGUUACUGGGCGUAAAGAGUGCGUAGGUGGUGCCCUAAGUCUGUUGUGAAAUCUCCCGGCUUAACUGGGAGGGUGCGGUGGAAACUGGGGUGCUUGAGUGUGGGAGAGGUAAGCGGAAUUCCUGCUGUAGCGGUGAAAUGCGUAGAUAUCAGGAGGAACACCGGUGGUGUAGACGGCUUACUGGACCACGACUGACACUGAGGCACGAAAGCGUGGGUAGCAAACAGG